rnacentral:lncRNA from 1 species
GUGUUUUAUUUUUUUUUCUUUAGUACCAGGGAUUCAACCCAGGGUCACUUAACCACUGAGCCAUCUCCCCAGCCCCUUUGAUUUUUAUUUAGAGAGAGGGGGUCUCACUGAGGUGCUUAGGGCCUCGCUAAGUUGCUGAGGCUGACCUCAAACUUUCGAUCCUCCUGCCUCAGCCUCCCAAGCCGCUGGAUGACAGGCAUGCGUCACUCUGCCGGGCUCUUUCCUCAGCCUAUGGACAGGAGCUCAGUCUGUUUCUUUCCCUUUGAUCACUAGAGAGCAAAUGCUUAUAUUCUCCAGCCCAGGGAUCUCUCCACUGCCACCACGCCAGCUGGGAUGCACAACCUUGAACAAUACACUUCUUAGUAGGAAGAUUGGGCCAAAUCGAGUGUCAUAAAUGCCCAGGUGCCCUCCCUCCUUCCAGUGUCUAAAUCAGCAAGUGCCCAAAGGGGUAAAGAGCUCAGUUAGAGAGUCUGGGCUCUGCAAUCCACAUGGAUUUGAAUCUUUGGUUGUGCUGUGUGACCUUGGGUGAGCUAAUU